GAAGAGGAAAAAUAACAACAACAUCGACAUGGCUGCCGACAGUGACCCCGAGUCCGAGGUGUUCGAGAUCACCGACUUCACCACCGCGUCCGAGUGGGAACGGUUUGUGUCCAAAGUGGAGGAGGUGCUGAAUGACUGGAAGCUGAUUGGGAGCUGUGCAGGGAGCUCCACGCCAGAGAAGGGCGAGUUCACCAGUGGCACCUGGGGGGAGAAGUCUCAGGAUAUCCAAUUUGCCGACUUUAAGUUCCACAUCAUUCAUUACUUCCUGAAACAAGAGCGUGAGCAGGACAAGGGGACGGACGAGCUGGAGGAAGAUGCAUUCCCCCUGGCAAUGCAGGACCUUCUGUGUAUGAACAAUGACUUCCCUCCCCGAGCCCACUGUCUUGUCAGAUGGUAUGGCAUCCGAGAGUUUGUGGUCCUGUCCCCCGGAGCCAACUGCGAGGCGAUCAUCAGCGAGUCCAAAUGCAACCUGCUCCUCAGCUCCAUCUCCAUUUCUCUGGCCAACAGCGGCAGCCAAGUGCCCAUAUUUGUGCAGAUCCAGCAGAAGUGGAGGCGGGUGUAUGCCGGGGAGUGCCAGGGUCCAGGUGUACGCACAGACUUUGAGAUGGUCCACCUGCGCAAGGUGCCGAGCCAGUACAACCACCUGUCUGGCCUGCUCGACAUCUUCAAGUCCAAGAUCGGCUGUACCCUGUCCCCUCUGCCUCCCAUCAACAUCGCCAUCCGCUUCACCUACAUCCUCCAGGACUGGCAGCAGUAUGCGUGGCCUCAGCAGCCUCCAGACUUUGACACACUCCUCGGAGGCGAGGUGGGCGGGGUGGAGUUUGGGAAGCUUCCGUUUGGAGCCUGCGAAGAGCCAAUCAGUGAGCUUCAUCUGGCCACCACCUGGUCCCACCUGACAGAAGGCAUCGUUGUGGAUAAUGACGUGUACAGUGACCUGGACCCACUCCAAGCUCCUCACUGGUCCGUCCGAGUCCGCUCAGCUGAAAACCCCCAGUGUCUUCUGGGUGACUUGCUGACGGAGUUCUUUAAGCUCUGCUGCAGGAAGGAGUCCACAGAAGAGGUACUGGGAAGAGGAUCGGCAGAAGAGGAGGGCAAAGACAGCAGCGACAUCAGCUCUGCUCUGUCCAAGCUGACGGAGCCGUCGGCUGCCGUGCCCAUCUCCAAACUGUCGGUGUCCAACAUGGUGCACAGCGCCCGCAAGCACAUCCGGCGCCGCCGCCGCGUCGACGAGUCCCCGCUCAACACGGACAUACUCAAUUCUAUCCUUCUGUAUCUGUUCCCAGAUGCAGCCGUGGAGAAGUCCUCCGAGAACAGCAAGAACAGAACCACCCAGCUGGGCUCCAGUGGGAAGGGCGAGCACAACAAACACUCUGACUAUAACCUGUUCCUGCAGCUGAAGUCGGCCCCCAGCGACAGCCUGACCUACCGGCUGGCUCUGUGUGCGUGUCUGGUGAACUACAACCAUGGCGGCCUGCGUGCGGUCGCCCAUCUCUGGCAGGAGUUUGUCCUUGAGCUGCGUUACCGCUGGGAGAACAACUACUUCAUCUACGGGCUGGCUGCUGGAGCGCCAGAUCUCCGCUGUUGUCUUCUGCACCAGAAGCUCCAGAUGCUGAACUGCUGCAUCGAGAGGAAGAGGGCGAGAGACGAAGCUCGCAAGGUGCUGGAGGGGAGCCGAGAGCGAGAGCGCCGGGUGUCCGGCGGCCGGCCCGCGGCCAGGGAGGUGUCCCCGGGGAAAUCCUGGGACUCGUGGAGCGACAGCGAGGAGGAGUUCUUCGAGUGCCUGAGCGACCAGGGCGAGAUCGAGGCGGAGAAGGACGGCAGCAAGAGUAAAGCUGAGGGCCGACUUCACCCCCACAACAACGCCACCCUGCUGAACUCCACGGAGCCGCUCUACGUCCCCGUCACGCAGGAACCUGCUCCCAUGACAGAGGACCUGUUAGAGGAGCAGUCCGAGAUUCUGGCCAAACUGGGCACAUCUGCUGAGGGAACCCACCUCCGAGCCCGGAUGCAGAGCGCCUGCCUGCUGUCGGACAUGGAGUCCUUCAAGGCGGCCAACCCCGGCUGUGCCCUGGAGGACUUUGUGCGCUGGUACUCUCCUCGGGAUUACGUGGUGGAGGGGGGCGUGGAUGAGACGGGCAGCCGGGUGGUGAAGGGGGAGCUCAGUCCCAGGAUGAAGAUCCCGGGCAACAUGUGGGUGGAGGCCUGGGAGACGGCCCGGGUCACACCUGCACGCCGCCAGAGGAGGCUGUUUGACGACACCAAGGAGGCCGAGAAGGUUCUCCACUAUCUAGCAGUGCAGAAACCUGCAGACCUGACCCGCAACCUCCUGCCCUGCAUCCUGCACGCUGCUAUCCUCAAGCUGAAGGAGGAAGAGUCAGCGGAAGACAUCCCAUCAGUCAAAAGGAGCAUCCAGCAGGCGACGGGCCAGGCCAGCAAGCUGCUGCACCCCCUCAACCACGACUACAAGAAGAUCGAGGAGUUCAUCAGUCAGCUGAUGGCCAUGGAGACGGCCAUCACCAGAGCUCGCUCCCUCAAGGCCAAGUUUGCCAGUUGUGAGGGCGGAAGGGGCGAGGACACAGAGGAGCUGGAGAAGUUUGUGAGCUCCCUGCUGGAGGAACCUGAGGUGGUGGUGAUGGGCGCUGGCCAGGGGCCGGCCGGCAGCAUCAUCCACAGGCUGUUUGUCAACGCCCAGAGGCUGGCUGACUUCACCAGUGACGAGGUAACUACCAGUAGAGCUACAGCCCUAUCUACCAGUACAGCCCUACCCCUCAGCUGCCCCUCACUAACAUUACAACACACACACAAACACAAUUGAGCAGGUAGGAUUGGGCUCCAGAAGCCUGUAUGCACUACAAGGAAGCAUUUUAUUCGUUUUACUAACAUAUUGCUCCUAUUGUAAUCCUGUUGGGGGUGUUCUAUAUGUACUGUGUGCUCUAGCUGUGUUUAUUUGGCUUUAGUCCGUCUCAGGUCCUGUGUUCCUGUUAUUUAGACAGGAAGUCGUCUGGAUGUUAACACUGAUCACAUUCUGUAGUUCAACCGGUGAGGAGCUCCCCUCAUCGCAGCAGACCUGUGUGUGCUGCUGGUAAACUCUCCUUCCCCUCGGCUGCUCAGUGAAGAGGCUGCAGGCUGACUUGAGACAGCAGCGUUGGCCUCCGCUCUGUGUCCGCUGGCCUUGUUCUGUGGCCCCCUAGUGGUCAGAAGCAAUUAACCUAAGAGACACGCACAGUGUACGAGCGUCACAUGAACCCUGCUGGCUGUUUAUAGAACAUACAAACAUCUAAAGAGUUAAGACAUGUCCUGUAGAACACGCAUAACCAUUCAGGAGGAGGUAUUCAAACAAAUUUUUGAAUACCUCCUCCUUAAAUCGUCCGUCACCUGCAGUUUAGUUACACACACACACACACACACACACACGAAAGCCCAACCCAUCGUAACACGCCUGUCUGCCUCUCCCACUGCCCCCCUGUGCUCUGCUGUGGCAGCAGGGUCUUCUUGGUGACAUGGAGGUGGCCCAGGUCUACUCCCGGGGCCGCCGUGGUCUUGCUGCUCCGGCUGUUUGAUCUCCUGUCGUUCCAGCUCAGCUGCUUUGUGAAACGGUCCUUCCACAGUAAACAGAAGGACACGGAACCAAAUCCCCCAAAGCCAAUUGGGCCUCAUGCAGCAGCACGCUCUCAUCUCUUCUCUGGAGCUCGUUUGAGUCGGCUCUAGAUGCACCGAGCGUUCUCCCCCGUCUCACCUACCAGACGGCCCUUCUGGCUCCACUGGACGAAGACUUGGGCCGCGACAGGAAGCCGGCUGCAGGAAGCAGUAAAGCGGCCGACUUCCCUCCUC